rnacentral:tRNA from 2 species
GCCCGCUUGAUGGAAUUGGUAGACAUACGGGACUUAAAAUCCCGAGGCCGCAAGGCCGUGCCGGUUCGAGUCCGGCAGCGGGUACCA